rnacentral:rRNA from 1 species
CCUACGGGAGGCAGCAGUGGGGAAUAUUGCGCAAUGGGCGAAAGCCUGACGCAGCGACGCCGCGUGAGGGAUGACGGCCUUCGGGUUGUAAACCUCUUUCAGCUCCGACGAAGCCUUCGGGUGACGGUAGGGGCAGAAGAAGCACCGGCCAACUACGUGCCAGCAGCCGCGGUAAUACGUAGGGUGCAAGCGUUGUCCGGAAUUAUUGGGCGUAAAGAGCUCGUAGGCGGUUUGUCGCGUCGGCUGUGAAAACUCGGGGCUCAACUCCGAGCUUGCAGCCGAUACGGGCAGACUAGAGUUCGGCAGGGGAGACUGGAAUUCCUGGUGUAGCGGUGAAACGCGCAGAUAUCAGGAGGAACACCGGUGGCGAAGGCGGGUCUCUGGGCCGAUACUGACGCUGAGGAGCGAAAGCGUGGGGAGCGAACAGGAUUAGAUACCCUGGUAGUCCACGCCGUAAACGUUGGGCGCUAGGUGUGGGAUCCCUUCCACGGGUUCCGUGCCGCAGCUAACGCAUUAAGCGCCCCGCCUGGGGAGUACGGCCGCAAGGCUAAAACUCAAAUGAAUUGACGGGG